GCCUUGGUGGCAGCGGAGGUGCCUUGAGAGGUGAAUACUUCCUGAGUCCCGGGGACUUUGCUUGAUGCUGAGCUGGUUUCAGAACAGCCACAGAGACCUUGCAGCCUCCUGAGGGGAGGGGCACCAGGUAUAAAACCAUUGUGUAAAGAACAAUCAGAUUAAUUAUAAUUGGCAUCUGGUCGAUCGCCUGGAGAAUCCCAUGGACAGAAGAGCCUGGCAGGCUGUACAGUUCAUGGGGUCACAAGAGUCGGACAUGGCUUAGCAACUAAACCACCACCACUGCCCAUCACUUCAUGCAAAUAGAUGGGGAAGCGAUGGAAACAGUGGCAGAUUUUAUUUUCUUGGGCUCCAAAAUCACUGAGGACUGUGACUGCAGCUGUGAAAUUAAAAGACACUUGCUUCUUGGAAAAAAGGCUAUGACAAACCUAGACAGCAUACUAAAAAGCAGAGACAUCACUUUGUUGACAAAGGUGCAUAUAGUCAAAGCUAUGGUUUUUUCAGUAGUCAUGUACAUAUGUGAGACUUGGACCAUAAAGAAGGCUGAGUGCUGAACAAUUGAUGCUUUCGAAUUGGGGUGCUAGAGAAGACACUUGAGAGUCUUUUGGAUGGCAAGGAGACCAAACUAGUCAGUCCUAAAGGGAAUCAUGCAAGGAUUGAAUAUUCAUUGCAAGGAAUGAUGCUGAAGCUCCAGUGCUUUGGCCACUCAUUGGAAAAGACCCUGAUGCUGGGAAAGAUUGGAGGCAAAAGGAGAAGGGGGUGGCAGAGGAUGAGAUGAUUGGAUGGCAUCACUGACUCAAUAGACACGAGUCUGAGCAAACUCCAGGAGAUAGUGAAGGACAAGGAAGCCUGGCAUGCUGCAGACCAUGGGGUCACAAAGAGUCGGACACAGCUACUAAACAACAAUAACAAUGAAUUUAAUGAUCUCAAAAUACUGAGUCCUAAAUGAAGAAGGGAACAUUGUGGUUUUUAAAGUGUACAUACAUAACUUUCCUUUGUUUUGAAGGAAAAAAUUAGAUUUAUAAAAAUGAACAACUAAUAAAAAGUUGCAAAAAAAAAGUUGCACAAUCUAGUUUUAAAUAGAAGAUGAAAUACAGCUUGCCAUCAGUAAGGUUAACCCAGUUGUGUGUCUGUAUCUGUAAUACAGUGUGUUGCUAUCCAACAACAGAGUGUUGUUAAUGUAUAUUCCAGAAGUGAAAUCAGCUCAUACAGAUGUCAGGCACUCUUUUAAGAGCGCCCUGAGCUCUUGAAGAAGUCUUAGGCUCCCAGAGCACAGGUUUUGGGAGGAGAUGGAAUGUGUGCCGAGAAGCAGAGAUGUUCUCUUUUUCAGUGAUUUCCAAGAGAAAAUAUAGCCUGUUGGAGCAGAGCAGAUGGCAUUGCUAAGAUGUAGAAUCUAUGAGUCAAUAGCAGGGGUCAGCAAACUAUAGCCCGAAGGCCAUACCCCACCUGCACCAUGUUUUUGUAAAUUGUUUAAUUGGCAUACAUCCACACUUACUCAUUUAUAUAUUGUCUACAGCUACUUUCAGGCUAACUCAAUAGAAUUGAGUAGGUGACUGGACUGUAUGACUUGCAAAGCCUAAAUAUUUACUGCCCAGCCCUUUACAGAAAGUUUGCAGACAGCUGGUUGAUAUAGGAAAGGAGUUUCUAGAAGUAAGAGGCUGGAGAGAGGCUCUCAUGCAAAAAAACACUACAACAGAUG